rnacentral:rRNA from 1 species
CGUGGCGAAUGGGUGCGUAACACGUGGAUAACCUUCCUUCAGGUGGGGAAUAACCCCGCGAAAGCGGGGCUAAUACCGCAUAACAUGACCACAUGCAAAGCCGCGCCAGAAGAGGGAUCCGCGGCCGAUUAGCUAGUUGGCGAGGUAAUGGCUCACCAAGGCUUUGAUCGGUAGCCGGACUGAGAGGUUGGCCGGCCACACUAGAACUGAGACACGGUCCAGACUCCUACGGGAGGCAGCAGUGGGGAAUCUUGCACAAUGGGCGAAAGCCUGAUGCAGCAACGCCGCGUGGGGGAUGAAGCUUCUCGGAGUGUAAACCCCUUUCGACCCGGAAGAAUGACGGUACGGGUACAAGAAGCCCCGGCUAACUACGUGCCAGCAGCCGCGGUAAUACGUAGGGGGCCAGCGUUGCUCGGAAUUACUGGGCGUACAGGGUCCGUAGGCGGUGCGGAAAGUCGGAAGUGA